rnacentral:rRNA from 2 species
GACGGAGGGGGCUAGCGUUGUUCGGAAUUACUGGGCGUAAAGAGUGCGUAGGCGGUUUAGUAAGUUGGAAGUGAAAGCCCGAGGCUUAACCUCGGAACUGCUUUCAAAACUACUAAUCUAGAGUGUAGUAGGGGAUGAUGGAAUUCCUAGUGUAGAGGUGAAAUUCUUAGAUAUUAGGAGGAACACCGGUGGCGAAGGCGGUCAUCUAGGCUACAACUGACGCUGAGGCACGAAAGCGUGGGGAGCAAACAGG